UCUUGACUCACCUAACCUUUACUAGAAUCGGUAGAGCGUGAGACUCUUACAGCACGUAAUGGCAUCUCAAGGUUGGGGGUUCGAGCCCCCCGUCGGGCU